rnacentral:lncRNA from 1 species
GACAUUCCAAUUUUCUCCCAAUUCUAUUGGAAGGUCAAUCUUAAAUGCUGUAUAGGAGGAUCUCAUUGAGAAGAUAUCAUUUGAGCAAAGAUGUAAAGCAAGGGAGGGAAUGAGUCAGUGGCUACAUAGCGAGAGUGUCCUAGGCAGAGGAAACAGCUUCUACAAAAGCCCUGAAGCAAGAGAAUGUUUGAAGUGUUCAAGAAUAAACAGGAGAUGCAGAAUGAAUGGAAUUGAGAGUGAGUGAGGCAGUCGGAUACAAGAGAGACUAAUAUGGGGCAGCACUGAAGACUGCUGACAGCAGCCACAUGAGUGAGCUCAGAGUGGACACAACAGCCCCUUCAGAGGCUGCAGGGAUGGCAGACAGCCUGACUGCAAUGUCGUGAAAGAUGCUGAGGCAGAACCAUGCAGCAAAGUCAUUCCCAGAUUCCUGACUCUCAGAAAAUGUAAACUUCAUUUCAGACACAGAGAGAA